AGUGAACGCUGGCGGUAGGCCUAACACAUGCAAGUCGACCGACAGCACAGUAAGAGCUUGCUCUUACGGGUGGCGAGUGGCGGACGGGUGAGGAAUACAUCGGAAUCUACUUUUUCGUGGGGGAUAACGUAGGGAAACUUACGCUAAUACCGCAUACGACCUACGGGUGAAAGCAGGGGCUCUUCGGACCUUGCUCGAUUGAAUGAGCCGAUGUCGGAUUAGCUAGUUGGCGGGGUAAAGGCCCACCAAGGCGACGAUCCGUAGCUGGUCUGAGAGGAUGAUCAGCCACACUGGAACUGAGACACGGUCCAGACUCCUACGGGAGGCAGCAGUGGGGAAUAUUGGACAAUGGGCGCAAGCCUGAUCCAGCCAUACCGCGUGGGUGAAGAAGGCCUUCGGGUUGUAAAGCCCUUUUGUUGGGAAAGAAAAGCAGCAGGUUAAUACCCCGCUGUUCUGACGGUACCCAAAGAAUAAGCACCGGCUAACUUCGUG
rnacentral:rRNA from 1 species